GGAAAUAAAAAUAGUUUGGCAUAGAUAAGACACUUGUACAAUCUAAAUGGAAACACAAGGAGUUUGACAUCUCUUAGAAUCACACAGCAUAGGGGCGAACAAGGUGACAUCAAUAAUGACCAAUUAGAGGGUACCUUACAGAUUCUCUAUUCUUAACCAGCAUUGUUCAAAGCCACAAAACGCAUUACAAGUUCAGGACACAAACAGAUAGGACUCGGGUGUACUACACCCAAGUUAGUAAAAAAGUUGAAAAAAUUUCAGAUUUUUUGGACAAUGUUUGAUCACAUUUUUUCAAUCUUUUGCUAAACUCGGGUGUACUACACCCGAGAGUAGCCACUACUUUCCGGAAGAUCAAACUGAACUAGACAUAGAAAGCUAGAACAUAUCCAAGCCAAUGCCACAAAACAACAAGAUUAGGCCCAUAACCAACAACUUCUUUUAAUGAAUUGCCAAGCUAAGGACAUUAAGCUGCAUGCAGUACUUUCAGUCACCAUCAGAAGUCCAUUCAGCAAAACAUGGAAUGUAAGGCAGAACAUCCUGGAAUUCUUGAGAAAAAGUGCAUGUAGCAUUGACUUUCUGAUUCUCCGUAUCAUAUGACACUGCCAUCUCGUCCUCGUCAGUAAGGAAAAUCAAAUCACAAUCAGGAUGAAUCACGAACACCUUAUAGGACAUAUCAUCUUCGCCACGUUGCCUCCCGAACAGCUCUGAAACGUUGACAGUAUACUUGAGGGUCCACUUUCCACCACCAUAAUCUUCAAGAACCCACACAUAGAGUUGGCAAUCAUGAUCGUUAUCAAUUUGCCACGCAUACAGGCGUCCUUGGGCUGCCCAAUGGAAGGCGAAUGACUUGUGUUUGGCAUGUCCUCUGGCAUUUCAACCUCCCUCCAGACCUUCCCUUCCGGGUCGACCGUGACCAUUCAGGAAGACACAUUCUGAAUUCCUAACCAGAAUAGUCUUGUAAUACCACUCGCUCUGCACCUUGGUCCAUCGUCCGGUUUCCGACGAGUAGAUGGCCAUCUCGGUGAAUUCACAGAAACAGUUGGUCAGGGGCACAAACACCACAAAGCGGGACGGAGCUACUGCGUCGAAACCCAGGAAGAUAUCCAUUAUUGGCUCGAAAUACACAAUGUCACCGUCCUCUUCGUCCAGCCAUACUACAGGAGGCAACACAGUCCACUGCCCGGCCAUAGGAUUGCACACGACGUAAUCGUAUUCGUCUUCCUCAUCAUGACGCGAUUCCCAGCACUUGCAAAGCAGAAGGCUGCUGCAGCACUGCUCGACCGAGAAGCAAUCGUAGCUCCCGCGCAAGAAAGCGAGCGAAGGGUCGACCAAAGGGGGGCCUCUUCCCGACAGAUUACGGAAAUUGAAACGCCCGCGGUCGAUGAAGAAGAAGCCAGACAACGUCUGCGGCGACCUCUUGCGGACAGCCAUGGCUUGGAGACGCACUUGAAGCGGCAGAGCGACCUGUAGGGCACCCUCGACAGUAUCUCGACGAUGGCGCCUUCAGGAAGAUCCGCCCCGGGCUGCUGCUGCUGCUGCUGGUUCUUACACAUUGUAGAGGCAGCUCGUUUAGUUUCAACGUGAGAUUGGAUAUUUGGAUUCAAGAUUGGAAGAAGGCAGUGUAGGGGAACAUACCUCAGACGCUUCAUCGGUGGAGGGGAAUGGUGGCGUGGCGCUGUCGCGGCCUUGGUUGCCGGUGGACCGCGUAUGGUACUGCUCCGUGCAGUCAUGGGGAAGGCUGGCCUGCUGCUUGUGCCCAUGCUCCUCCUUCAUCUACAGAUGGUGGAGGGUGGACACGAUUCAUACAGGUUCCUUUCUUGGAUAGAAGAUUGGGAGAAGGAAUAGUUACAAAUGGAGCAAACCUCUGGACCUACCUCGCUGAUGGGGAACGGCGGCGGCGAAUGGCAUGGAGCCUCCUCGCCCUGGCCUGGGUGGAGAGUCGCCGGCACGUGGCCCUGCUCCGUGCAGCCUUGCUCGCCUUCUCCUCGUCCUCCUUGCGGCAUCGCCUCCUCGAUCGAGGCACUCGACAGGGUGGGUCGUCCUAGGCAGGCGGCGCGGCUCGCCGAGUCUCGAGGGUUUUCAAGGACAUCGUGGCUUUUAUGGCUUCGUGUUCCCCUUUUGAGAAGUGGAAUGGGCGCCUCACCAAAAAAUGUAGAAAAGAAAUGAAAAGGCGUGUGUGCGAUGGUCAUUUGGAUGAAAUAUUUUUCUAGAAAAAAAAUACAGAAAAUGUUUUGUUCUGACCGACCGCCUGCAGACUGCUACCUUUUUUUAGUAACACCUUAGAGGGUGCUUGGAUCCAAGGGACUUAUUUUAGUCUGACUAAAAAUAGUCUCUUUACGAUGCUAAAGUUUCAAGCACCCCUGCUGACUAAAGAGGGGCUAAAACUAGUCUUGAGACUAAAAUUUUUUAGUCAGGGGUACCCCUACUAAAAUAUGGAUUAAUCCUCUCUCUCCUCAUUUAACUCCUCUCCUUUAAACAGGCGAGUUCUAGAUUGGAGGGUUUGAAGGAUAAUAAAUGUUCAUUAACUUGAUUUUAGUCUCUUUAGUAUUUGGAUCCAAGCAUGGAUGAGGCUAGCAAGUUUUUGUCCUACUACUUUUAGUCAUAGGACUAAAACGUAUCAAGCACCCUCUCAAACUGCUACUAUCUCCGUCCUGAUUUAUUGAUCCUCUUUACAUUGUACAUCAAAUUUUAACUUUAGAUUUAACGAACAAAAUGUUAAUGCAUGUUAUAAAAAAUAAUAUAAUUGGAAACUAUAUUCAUAUACGAAUACAACAAUAUAAUUUUUUGUGACAUUCAUUAAUAUUUUGUUAGUUGAAUCUCUAGUCAAAAUUUGACACAAAAUACUAAAAGGACUAAUAAAAUAGGACAGAAGUAGUACCUGUUAGGCCAACUCUAAGAAACGACCCAUUUCGUCCGGCCGCGUUCGUUUGGAUUAUCGUGGCCCUAAACGCGCCCGCAAACAGACAGUCGUCUGUUUUCUAUUCGUCUGCGACUCAUUUCCGGCCCGAAAUUAGUUCGCAUUUGCGUUGAAACAGACAAGUCACUGGCGGACGGGGCACGAGCCCUUGUCCUCCCCUAGCCAGCCCAUGGGGAACACAACAUUCUCAGUUCCACCUUCUUUCCCAAAAUCCCUCUCGCCCUCCCCCGCCCCUUCCUAGCUCCAUGGCUGGUACCCCGCAGUAACCCGCCGCCAUCCUCUCGGGCGCCAUCUCCACCUGUCCCGCGACGAAAAAGAAGGCAAAUGUGGAGCUCGACCGACUCAACCAAGAAUCAUCCAAGAGGAGACCCGGAAUGCCAUCCACCAUGCAUGGGUCUCAUCUGUUUCUUCCAAGCAGCUUCUCCAUGUCUGCCUCCUCCUCGUCCUCCUUCGGCAUCGCCUCCUAGAUCGAGGCACUGGACUGCAUAUGGUGGUUUGUCCUAGGCAUGAAGCGCAGAUCGGCGCGGCUCGCUGAGUCUCGAGGGUUUUCAGGGACAUCGUGGCUUUCAUGCUUUAUGGCUUUGUUUUCCCCCUUGAGAAGUGGAAUGGGCGCCUCACCAAAAAUGUAGAAAAGAAAUGAUAAAGCGUGUGUGCGAUGGUCAUUUGGAUCAAAUAUUUUUGUAGAAAAAAAUACAGAAAAUGUUUUCUGCUGACCGACUGCCUGCAAACUGCUACCUGUUAGGCCAACUCCAACACACACCCCAUUUCGUCCAGCCGCGUUCGUUUGAGUCUGUUUUCUGUUUGUCUGCGACCCAUUUCCGGCCUGAAAUUAGUUUGCGUUUGGGUCAAAAUGGACAGGACACGGACGAACGGGACGCGAGCCCUUGCCCUCGCCUGGCCAGCCCAUGGGGAACACAAUGCUCUCAUUUCCACCUUCUUUCCCAAAAACCCUCUCGCCCUCCCCCGCCCCUUCCCAGCUCCAUGGCCGCCGCCCCGCAGCAACCAACCGCCAUCCUCCCGGGCGCCACCUCCACCCGUACCGCGAUGAAAAAGAAGCCAAAGGUGGGGCUCGAACUACUCAUUCAAGAAUCAUCCAAGAGGAUAACCCGGAGGGCCGCUACUGCGGAGAGGAAAGACGCAGCCCAGUAUGGCCUCAGGGCCGCUGCCGCACAACACAAGGACGCAGUUGAGGACAACGAGACCCUUGUCGUCAAGGCCACACAGGCAGCGCGACGCACGCCCUCCUCAUGCUAGUGUUUAGCUGACCCGCGCCGGCCACAUGCUCGUCGGCCGUUCGCCCUCCACAGGGCCAGUUGACGAGAUCCUCCACAACACGGCAAACAGGUUGUGUUUAUCUGACACAAGAGCAUGGUGCAAACCGCUUCCCCAUGUUGCGGGACGAUAGCGUGAUCACGCCGGCCACCCCCACCCCCGCGGCCUUCAUCGACCCCAAUGUCACGCGCUGGGUUGGGUGUCGCCGGUCAGUAAGCCACCGGGAUACAAAGCAAGCGGCCACGGGCGAUUCCUAUGGCUAACCUUCCCGACGCCCGCAACCUGUUUGAUGGAUCGUCGUACCGACGCCGGGCAAGACGGCCCCAACUUCAACGCUUUCAUGGAGGACGUCAUCUACGAAGGCCAUGGCCAAGCCUUCCACACCGAGAGCCAAGGGCAAGGUGUCGGUGUCAAAACCGACGGAUCUCGGGUAGGGGGUCCCGAACUGUGCGUCUAAGGCGGAUGGUAACAAGAGGCGGGGACACAAUGUUUACCCAGGUUCGGGCCCUCUCUAUGGAGGUAAUACCCUACUUCCUGCUUGAUUGAUCUUGAUGAUAUGAGUAUUACAAGAGUUGAUAUACCACGAGAUCAUAGAGGCUAAACCCUAGAAGCUAGCCUAUGAUUAUGAUUGUUGUUGUCCUACGGACUAAACUCUCCGGUUUAUAUAGACACCGGAGGGGGCUAGGGUUACACAGAGUCGGUUACAAGGGAGGAGAUCUACAUAUCUGAAUUACCAAGCUUGCCUUCCACGCAAAGGAGAGUCCCACCCGGACACGGGACGAAGUCUUCAAUCUUGUAUCUUCAUAGUCCAACAGUCCGGCCAAAGUAUAUAGUCCGGCUGUCCGAGGACCCCCUAAUCCAGGACUCCCUCAGUAGCCCCUGAACCAGUCUUCAAUGACGAUGAGUCCGGCGCGCAGAUUGUCUUCGGCAUUGCAAGGCGGGUUCUUCUCCAAAUUCUGAGUACCUGUUGAGUAGUGUCCGGCUUCCCAUGAAUGUUGCACUCCUCGGCUUCUGCGCCUAAUAAUGGCUAUCCUCCAUGUGUCGAGCGAAUGCGAGAAGUCGGGGCAUUUUUACACUUGCCACCCUAACCAUGUAAGUAAACCGUCUAUUUAAAGAUACGGGGAUCCUCAGAUCCAGAUCACACCAUCCUCCCACAGCAAGUAUCCAUCGGAGCGCGCCCGGAAAAGUCCAUCCCAUCAUGGCCGGCCAUCGCAGCUCCUCCUCUCGCUCCCGUAGCCCUAAGCCAAGCAAUUGGAAGAAGUGUUCCGUCCCCACCAGCCAAUUAGUAGAGUUACAGACCCAGGGGUUUCUCCCUCCAGCGUAUAUGGCCCCCGUUCGAGCCGGACUGGUCACUUACAACGGCGGGGAGCAAGCGGAGAGCCUUCCCAACCCAUCCAUGGGGGAGCGGGUAUGCCUUGUCCCUUACUUACUAAGGGGGCUUGGAUUUCCCAUCCAUCCGUUCCUCCGCGGGCUCCUGGAGUUCUACGGCCUCCAGCUGCAUAACUUUACUCCCGCCUCCAUAUUACACAUCGCUGGCUACGUCGCCUUUUGCGAGCUAUUUUUGGGCUGUGAAGCUCAUUUCAAGCUAUGGAAGAGGCUAUUCUGCCUCGUACCCCGUACACAGGAGGGGUCAAUAUAUCAAGUGGGCGGAGCCGAGAUAUGGCGCAUCGCCGGGACUGGAUACCUGUCAGGUACUCCGAAGAAGACAUCCGAAGACUGGCCUUCAGAGUGGUUUUAUAUGGAGGACGUCCCCCUUUCGGACCCUAUUCGGAUGGGCCUUCCUGAGUUCGACAACGCCCCUUUGAAGAAACGCCGUAGCUGGCGCCCUCGGAGCCCCCAGGAGGAAGAUAACAGAGAAGUCCUUUUCCUGAUGGGCCGGAUAAAAACGCUGACCAAAUCAGGAUUGACAAUAGUCGAGGUUAUGUCAAUAUGUAUAAUGCGGGGGGUGCAGCCACUUCAUAUCGGAGACAACCCAUGUGGCACUUCAAUGGAGAAGACGAUGCCACCCGCUGCAGUCGUAAGGGACCGGACUCCGUCGCUGCUCUAGCGAAAAUACUGUCCGAUUUAUAUAAAGGAGAGAAAGAGGAGUUCGUCCGUAUUAAGCCACGGGAUGGAUUCUCCAUGUACAACCCCCCAAACUGGGUGAGCUGCUACUUUUUACUCCGAACCUUCCCGCAUUCUUUGUCAUAAGUAUUUACCUUGCUAUUUCAUAGUAGGAACUGCGAAAAGCUAUGAGGGAGGUCCACAGCCCGCCUCCACAACCAGAGGACCAUGACCGGGCCCUCGACCCCGGACUCGAAGAAGAUCCGGACACAUUUGUGGAGCUCCUCGACAGGACGUUCUAUCAAUUAAGCUGCGACGGUGCCUUGGUGGCCAUCAUAGCCGAUUAUCCUGGACUACUCCUUGCAUCACAUGUAAGUAAAACCGGAGUCCCAACUUCCGAGAAGGAUCCGUUUUUGCGCUUCACCUACCGCACAUAUAUGGUGUCUUACAGGGAAGGUCCUCCGGACGCCAUGCCGAACCCGCAGUGACUCACCAACAAGGGGCACCGAAGCCGGGUAGGCUUAAAAGGAAGGCGGUCAGGACUGAGACGCCGUUGCAGAGGUAUGAAAAAGUACCCCGCUCCGUGGUUGUCGUCUGAUACGUCUCCGUCGUAUCUAUAAUUUUUUAUUGUUCCAUGCCAAUAUUAUACAACUUUCAUAUACUUUUUGGCAACUUUUUAUACUAUUUUUGGGACUAACAUAUUGAUCCAGUGCCCAGUGCCAGUUCCUGUUUGUUGCAUGUUUUAUGUUUCGCAGAAUACCCAUAUCAAACGGAGUCCAAACGGGAUAAAAAUGGACGGAGCUUAUUUUUGGAAUAUUUGGAAAAUCUGGGAGAAAGAUCAACGCGAGACGGUGCCCGAGGUGGCCACGAGGCAGGGGGCGCGCCUGCCCCCCCGGGUGCGCCCCUGACCCUCGUGGGCCACCCGUAAGGCGGUUGAUGCCCUUCUUCGGCCGCAAGAAAGCUAAUUUUUGGUAAAAAAAAUCACGGCGAAGGUUUCAAUCCAAUCGGAGUUACGGAUCUCCAUAUAUAUAUACGAAACGGUGAAAGGGCAGCAGAGGAGAACGCAGAAACAGAGAGAGGCAGAGAGACAGAUCCAAUCUCGGAGUGGCUCUCGCCCCUCCCACGCCAUGGGAGCCAAGGACCAGAGGGGAAACCCUUCUCCCAUCUAGGGAGAAGGUCAAGGAAGAAGAAGAAGGGGGGCUCUCUCCCCCUCGCUUCCGGUGGCGCCGGAGUGCCACCGGGGGCCAUCAUCAUCACCGCGAUCUUCACCAACACCUCCACCAUCUUCACCAACAUCUCCAUCACCUUCCCCCAUCUAUAUUCAGCGGUCCACUCUCCCGCAACCCGCUGUACCCUCUACUUGAACAUGGUGCUUUAGGCUUCAUAUUAUUAUCCAGUGAUGUGUUGCCAUCCUAUGAUGUCUGAGUAGAUUUUCGUUGUCCUAUCGGUGGUUGAUGAAUUGCUAUGAUUGAUUUAAUUUGCUUGUGGUUAUGUUGCUGUCCUUUGGUGCCCAUCAUAUGAGCGCGCGCGUGGAUCACACCAUAGGGUUAGUUGUAUGUUGAUAGGACUAUGUAUUGGAGGGCAAGAGUGACAGAAGCUUCAACCUAGCAUAGAAAUUGAUGCAUACAGGAUUGAAGAGGGACCAAUAUAUCUUAAUGCUAUGGUUGGGUUUUACCUUAAUGAACGUUAGUAGUUGCGGAAGCUUGCUAAUAGUUCCAAUCAUAAGUGCAUAGAAUUCCAAGUAAGGGAUGACAUGCUAGCAGUGGCCUCUCCCACAUAAAAUUUGCUAUCGGUCUAGUAAAGUAGUCAAUUGCUUAGGGACAAUUUCGCAACUCCUACCACCACUUUUCCACACUCGCUAUAUUUACUUUAUUGUGUCUUUAUCUAAACAGCCCCUAGUUUUUAUUUACGUGCUUUUUAUAUUCUUGCAAACCUAUCCGAAAACACCUACAAAGUACUUUUAGUUUCAUACUUGUUCUAGGUAAAGCGAACGUCAAGCGUGCGUAGAGUUGUAUCGGUGAUCGAUAGAACUUGAGGGAAUAUUUUUUCUACCUUUAGCUCCUCGUUGGGUUCGACACUCUUACUUAUCGAAAGAGGCUACAAUUGAUCCCCUAUACUUGUGGGUUAUCAUCGUCUUUUAAAAUAUAAUAACGUCCAUGUUUCCUAGCAGAAAAGACGCUCACCGGACCAUAUCCGGAGAGCCUGCCGGCCACGCCUCCACCAGCCGGGUUCCAGAGCCAGACUUAGGGGCAGACGCUCACGUGGGGCCAACACCGGAUGUUCCUCCUACAGAGGAUGCGGAUAGGCUGUCCGCUACGAAUUCCGAAGUGGAGAGUGCCAUGAAUCACAGGCGUCGCUGGGCCAUACUCCGCGACACUUGUUUCUCUCAAGAGGCGUUCGAUGCCUUCAACUCAGGAGACGCGUACAUCCGCGCUGCUCAAAAUGGUCUUGCUAGAGCCACGGACCAGUAUGUAAAGGAUAUACGGGUAAGAAAAUCUAAUAAUUAUGUAUAUCAGUAGCCCCUGAGACUUGAAACAGUUGGCACAACUGAUUUAAGGAUCGUUGUUGUCGUAGGUUCUUACGGAGAAGAAUACCCAGUUGUCUCAAGAGCUGGAGGAGUGCAAAGCCCAGCUACGGGCCGUAGUUGCCGGAAUGGAGGAGUCCAAGAAGGCCCCAUCUGGUAAUACUUGUCUUGAUCGAAAAGAAUGAAAUGACAUGUACCAGAUAGUAUUCGGCAUGCAUGCACGUCUAACAAUAGAUUCUGUAGAUAAUCCUGGAGUGAAUCCGAAGAUCGUGCGAGGGGAUGAGCAACAUGCUCAACGACAGCUAGAGGCUGGCGAGCGCGUGCUUACGCGGGUUAGGCGGGAGAAAAACGAUCUCCAAGAUGCCAAUACCCGGCUGGGUGUUGAACUGAAAGAUGUUCGGGCCCAGCUUGCUGACUCCGUAAAGGAGAAUAAGAGGCUUCGACGCGGCAUGUUUAGUAAGUGCUUGAAUGAACUUUUAUAGAGUUCGGCGAAGAAACCGGCUAACAGAUUUAUAUCUGUAGGUAUAUUGACGGGUCGUCCCGAAGAGGAGAUGCCCGGAUCUGCGGGCGAUCUUCUGCAAGAGCUCUCACAACUGCACGAACAAGUUCGGCAGGUGAUGCAGGGCAUUGCCCAGGCCUUGUGGUCAUCCGCCUCAUGGAAGAUAUCGGCCUGCCGACAAGGUGCAAGGGAAGCCUGGGCCAUGGUGAAGACGCGAUAUACCAAGGCUGACCCGAACCACAUGGCCGAGGUCGGACCUGUAGGGUCUGAUGGGAAAGAGAUCCCCGUUAGUCUGGUAUAUGACCAGGUAAAAUUAGCCGCAAAGUAUUCCCAGCAGGAUUGUAGGCUAGACAACCUGUUGGAUGGUAUAGAAGAAGAAUUUAGUCAGUCUAAGUGAUUGUGUACUUCAAAUGACAUAUAUUGUCCCUAGCCGGAUUGUAAAUCAUUUGUCACGGCAGACCUUUUCGCUUCGAUCUCCGGACCCGACAGUCCGGAGUGUAUCCGAAUACCCGCUCAGUUAUGUAAAAGACGGGGUACGCGUGGAGACCAGGCGUAGGGGUCAUAAGUGCUUAAACAGACAAGUACCCAACUAGCUAUGUUAUAUUACAUGGAUAGUAAGAAACAUUUUCCAGGGAGAAUAGUUCCGUUAAGGGUUCCUUUCCCUGGGUACGCAUGCCUUAAUGUGCAUGUCUGAACUGCGAAAAGGGACGCAGGAUAUAAACAUCUGGGGGCAUGUAUUGCAAUAAGUAGAAGUCAUCUUUUGUUCACCGACCGAAUAUUCCCUUAAGAACACUAGCUUUCGGCUUCACCCAGUCUGAGGUACACAUCCGGCUGACCCGGCAGUAACAAUCGCAGAGGUGCUCCCCUUAUGCCCUAGCCGAAUUAACGGGAACGUAGGGCAUAAACACAAGAGCCAGGCAACCCAGCUUGGCCAAAACUUAAGUCAUAUCGAUGCAUAUAAUGGCGAAGAAAAGGUACAUGUGGAAAAGUAACACAUGUGCAAGGGGCAUAAGGCCCGGAAUAUAAUUAUAUUAAGCUUCUGUAUAAGAAGCCCCCAGGUAUAAUGAGCACGCAUGGUGCGUCAAGAUUGUGUAGUCAAGACACACUUUAAGCUUUUAAUGCCAUGAAGAAAAGGGGAGGAAAGAAAGAAAGACAGAUAGCGGAUAUAUAUAUAUAUAUAUAUAUAAAAGGGCGGAGGUAAGGAGACGAACACAGAGUCCGGCACUAGGCGUAGAAUCUUUGGAGUCUGGCCGCGUUCCAUGGAUUUGGCUCGAGUCGAUUGUCCGAUGCAUCACGCAGACGGUACGCUCCACCGGUGAGAACUUUAUCGAUGAUGAAGGGACCUUCCCAUUUGGGCUUGAGCUUGUCCUUUUUCUUCUCUAGUAGGCGUAAAACGAGUUCGCCAACAUUAUAAGUUUUGGCCCGUACUUCCCUGCUUUGAUACCGUCGAGCCUGUUGCUGAUAGAAUGCGGAGCGGGCUUUUGCAACGUCACGCUCCUCCUCCAGGGCAUCUAAAUUGUCCUGUCGAUCAAGCUCGGCUUCUUUCUCUUCGUACAUGCGCACUCGAGGUGAGUCAUGAAUGAUGUCGCAGGGCAGUACCGCCUCUGCGCCGUACACCAUAAAAAAGGUGUGUAUCCGGUAGUGCGAUUCGCGUGGUCCGCAGUCCCCAUAGUACGGAGUCGAGCUCCUCAACCCAGUGCGUAUCUGAUUCCUUCAAGGAUCGCACUAGUCUGGGUUUAAUGCCGCCCAUAAUAAGACCAUUUGCUCGUUCGACUUGACCGUUUGUUUGGGAGUGAUAGACGGAGGCAUAAUCGAGCUUAAUGCCCAUGUUGCCGCACCAAGUUUUUACCUCGUCAGCUGUGAAGUUUGAGCCGUUAUCGGUGAUGAUGCUGUGGGGGACACCAUAACGGUGUACAACCCCGGAUAUGAAGUCUAUCACUGGUCCGGACUCGGCCGUUUUAACUGGUUUGGCUUCUAUCCUUUUGGUGAAUUUAUCCACCAUGACCAAUAGGUAUUUUUUCUUAUGGCUUCCUUCUUUAAGGGGUCCGACCAUAUCAAGCCCCCAGUCCGCAAAGGGCCAAUUAAUGGGUAUUGUUUGGAGAGCGGGAGGUGGCAUAUGGCUUUGGUUUGCAAAAAUAUGGCACCCGACGCAAUGUUUGACGAGGUCCUGUGCGUCUGCUCGGGCUGUCGGCCAGUAGAAACCCGUACGGAAGGCCUUGCUUACCAGGGCCCGAGCUGCGGCGUGAUGGCCGCCGAGUCCAGCAUGAAUUUCUGCCAAAAGUUGCCGUCCUUCCUCUUCGGAGAUACACCUUUGAAGUACUCCGGUAGCGCUUUUCUUAUAAAGCUCUCCCUCGUGGACCUUGUAGGCUUUAGACCGUCGCACAAUGCAACGUGCCUCGUUUGGGUCCUCGGAGAGUUCUUGCCUAUUUAGGUAAGCCAAGAAGGGUUUUGUCCACGGGGCGAUGACAGCCAUAAUCACGUGGGCCGAAGGUGUUAUUUCGGUGGCGGAGCCUCCGAUUAUGUCAGAGUGUUCAGGAUCUGGUGUUGUGGCCGGAUCCGGACUGUUGUUGCUGGUCUCCCCUUCCCACACCACGGAUGGCUUAAACAGCCUUUCCAAGAAGAUAUUAGGUGGGACAGGGUCGCGUUUAGCGCCGAUGCGGGCGAGGAUAUCCGCCGCUUGAUUGUUUUCUCGGGCCACAUGGUGGAAUUCGAGCCCCUUGAACCGAGCUGACAUUUUGAGGACGGCAUUGUGGUAAGCCGCCAUUUUUGGGUCCUUGGCGUCAAAGUCUCCAUUUAUUUGAGAUAUUGCGAGGUUCGAAUCCCCACGCACCUCUAGGCGUUGAAUGCCCAUGGAGAUUGCCAUCCAGAGACCAUGCAACAGGGCCUCAUAUUUUGCUGCGUUGUUGGAGUCUGUGUAUAAUAUUUGGAGUACGUAUUGUACUGUAUCUCCGGUGGAGGAUGUCAGGACGACGCCUGCCCCCAGACCAGCCAGCAUCUUAGAGCCGUCAAAGUGCAUGAUCCAAUUGGAGUACGCGCCGUACACUUUAGGGAGUUCAGCUUCUGUCCAUUUGGCGACGAAAUCAGCCAGUACUUGCGACUUAAUGGCCCGCCGUGGUUUGUAUGUUAUGUCGAAUGGGAGGAGCUCAAUAGCCCAUUUAGCAAUCCGGACAGUGGCAUCGUGGUUAUUUAUUAUGUCAUUGAGUGGUACUUCAGAGGCCACCAUGAUUGAACAAUCUUGAAAGUAGUGUCGUAGUUUCUGGGAUGCCAUGAAGACCGCGUAUGCUAUCUUUUGAUAAUGUGGGUACCGUGAUUUGCAUGGAGUGAGGACAGUGGAUACGUAGUAUACCGGCUUUUGAAGCGGGAACUUAUGUCCGUCCGUCUCUCGUUCAACGACGAGCACUGCGCUUACAACCUGGUGCGUUGCCGCUAUAUAUAACAGCAUUGGUUCGCCGACAUUUGACGCGGCCAAUAUUGGGUUGGUGGCCAAAACGGCUUUUAUUUCUUCCAGUCCAGCCGUGGCCGCAUCCGUCCACUCAAAGUGUUCGGUGCGUCGAAGAAGGCGAUAAAGGGGUAGUGCUUUUCUCCUAAUCGGGAGAUAAAGCGGCUUAAGGCAGCCACGCAUCUAGUUAAUUUGUGGAUUUGCUUGAGGUCCGUUGGGAUAGCCAACUAUGACAGAGCUCGGAUUUUAGCCGGAUUUGCUUCAAUUCCUCUACUGGAGACGAUGAAGCCCAAGAGCUUUCCGGCGGGCACGCCGAAAACGCAUUUUUCCGGAUUGAGCUUGAUGUCAUAUGUUCGGAGAUUGUCGAACGUGAGCCUCAAGUCGUCUAUUAAGGAUUCGACGUGUCUGGUUUUAAUGACCACGCCGUCUACGUAUGCCUCCACUGUUUUGCCAAUUUGUGUUUCCAGGCAUGUCUGAAUCAUGCGUUGAUAGAUUGCACCGGCGUUUUUGAGCCCGAAAGGCAUGGUGUUAAAACAGAAGGGGCCGUAUGGAGUGAUAAAUGCCGUUGCGGCUUGAUCGGACUCCGCCAUCUUAAUUUGAUGGUAUCUGGAGUAUGCGUCGAGGAAACACAAUGAGUCGUGUCCUGCGGUAGCGUCGAUAAUUUGAUCGAUGCGGGUAGGGGGAAGGGAUCCUUGGGGCAAGCCUUGUUAAGGUCCUUGAAAUCGACACAUAGGCGCCAGGAUUUGUCCUUCUUUGGUACCAUCACCAGGUUUGCUAGCCAGUACGGAUGUUUUAUUUCUCUAAUGAAUCCGGCCUCAAGUAACUUGGCUAGCUCUUCUCCCAUGGCUUGUCGCUUAGGCUCAGAGAAACGCCACAGAGUCUGCUUGACCGGCUUGAACCCCUUUAGAAUGUUAAGGCUAUGCUCGGCCAGCCUGCGUGGGAUUCCUGGCAUGUCUGAAGGAUGCCAGGCGAAGAUGUCCCAAUUCUCGCGCAAGAACUCCCGCAAUGCGGCGUCUACUGUGGGGUUUAACUGUGCCCCGAUGGAUGCUGUUUUUGUAGGGUCCGUUGGGGACUUGGAAUUUGACUAUUUUGUCCGCUGGUUUGAAAGAGGUGGACUUGGGUCUUUUGUCGAGUAUCACGUCGUCCUUGUCCACUGUGGAGCGUAGCACAGUUAGUUCUUCGGCCGCAAGGGCUUCGGAUAACGCCUCGAGGGCUAGUGCGACGGUUUUAUUUUCGGCGCGGAGUGCUAUGUCCGGAUCACUAGCUAGAGUGAUGAUUCCAUUGGGCCCGGGCAUUUUGAGCUUCAUGUACCCGUAAUGGGGUAUAGCUUGGAAGAUCGUGAAUGCCUCCUGCCCUAAAAGGGCGUGGUAUCCGCUACUGAACGGGGCCACUUGGAAUGUGAUUUCUUCGGACCUAUAAUUCUCCGACGUGCCGAAUACCACAUAUAGUGUGAUUUUUCCUGCACAUCGUGCCUCCCGACUAGGGAUGAUUCCUCUGAAGGUCGUGCUGCUUUGCUCAAUGCGGCUCUUGUCUAUUUCCAUUUUUCGAAGAGUCUCCUCAUAGAUGAGGUUUAAUCCGCUGCCACCGUCCAUGAGCACUUUAGUAAGCCGGAAGCCGUCCACAAUUGGACUAAGGACCAAGGCGGCUGGUGCUCGGGCUGUUCGGAAUGUAGGUUCGUCACUGGUAUUGAAGGUUAUAGCCGUAUCGCUCCAUGGAUUUAUUGCUGCCACGUGGCAGACUUCGGCAAGGCUGCGGAGUACUCGCUUGCGCCUAUUAUUUGAGGCGAAGGUCUCGAAGACUGUCAAUAUUGUAUUGUUAUUUUCCACGGGAUGGUGCUCUAUUGUAUUGUUGAUGAGGAUAUCCUCGCCACUCUUGGCCACCUGCCGGAGUAUCCAACAUGCUCUAAGGCUAUGUGUUGGCAUGGCAUCCGUUGUACUGUGAAUUUUGCAUGGCCCAUUGAGCCAUCCCUCCAAUACGGUUCCACGCCCUAUAGUGGGCUUUUGUUUCUUUGUAAUUGGAUCGGGUGACUUAUGAGAGUACACCCUUUUAGUUUGGACGGGGGGGUUUAGUGAGAGCCGGAGGAUCCCAGAAUUUUGUUUGGGUUUUCAAGGCGCUUUCCAUCGUACAGUACUUCUGUACUAUGGCUGCCAAGUCAGCGAAGUGUGCUGUGUCACGGCGACUGAUGGCGUUGAGGAUUCCCUUGUCCGUGCAAUUUUUGCAAAAGAAUGAAAUUGCGUCUUCCUCGCGACAGUCCUUGACCUUGCUCAUUACAAGGAGGAAUCUGGCCCAAUAGUGAUGUACUGUCUCUUGGGGCUCUUGUCUAAUGUGGGAAAGAUCACUUAUAUCUGGGUGGGUGGGUAGAUUUAGGUCUGAACCCUAACCCGAUCUGAGACCCAGGGGCGGAGGAGUUUUCGAACUUGGCAGUUCGGGCUCCGGGAUGUUGACCAAUAGAUCUGGCCCACUGUCUGAUUUUAGGUUCAAAGCUUGGGCCAUGUCCUCCCGUAGACGGGUAUCCGGCUCGGAGAGCUCGGGAAUCCGGACAUAGUUUGUCCUCAAGAUAGAGGAAGAAUCGCUGCGUUGCUCCUCCACCACCGCUAUCUGAUGGGUGACCGGCGGAGAGUUAAUCUCCCUUUGGUCGGGUUUAAUCCCGAUCUGAUCAUAGUCCGUAGCGACUCCCAAUGCGGCCAUGCGAUCCAAGAGCCCAUUCAAGGAAGAGAGCUCCAUUGGAUCCAUCUGCUCGGCGAAUGCCGAGCCGACGUGGAGGCUGUUUUUGAUGACCCGAGAAGUCAUCGUCGGCGCAACGGCCGAACGGGCGGUCAUGAUGAAGCCGCCUAGUCGGAGAGUUUGGCCUACAGCCAAGGCUCCCCCGGAGGUGAUGUUGUCCUUGACAACAAGACGAGCCAUCAAGCCUUAUGGUGACGGCACAGUGGAACUCUCAAUGAAAGCACCAAUGUCGGUGUCAAAACCGGCAGAUCUCGGGUAGGGGGUCCCGAACUGUGCGUCUAAGGCGGAUGGUAACAAGAGGCGGGGGACACAAUGUUUACCCAGGUUCGGGCCCUCUCUUUGGAGGUAAUACCCUACUUCCUGCUUGAUUGAUCUUGAUGAUAUGAGUAUUACAAGAGUUGAUCUACCACGAGAUCGUAGAGGCUAAACCCUAGAAGCUAGCCUAUGAUUAUGAUUGUUGUUGUCCUACGGACUAAACCCUCCGGUUUAUAUAGACACCGGAGGGGGCUAGGGUUACACAGAGUCGGUUACAAGGGAGGAGAUCUACAUAUCCGAAUUGCCAAGCUUGCCUUCCACGCAAAGGAGAGUCCCACCCGGACACGGGACGAAGUCUUCAAUCUUGUAUCUUCAUAGUCCAACAGUCCAGCCAAAGUAUAUAGUCCGGCAGUCCGAGGACCCCCUAAUCCAGGACUCCCUCACAAGGCUUCAAUCCCGACAAUACCCAAAGCGAAGACAGGCGCGACCAACAUGAAGAGGCCGACGACAUUGGCCAUGGCAACCAAGAUGAAGAGGCCGACGACAUUGGCCAUGGUAACCAAGAUGAAGAGGCCGACAACCAUGCUAACUCAUUGGCGAUGGCAACCAUGCCAAUGCAUACACAUGUUUAACGAUUGUUCGUUCGUCACGUAGGGUAAUCCAAUGUUUUUUUUGCUGCGUGCAUGCUUCUUUAGAGCAUGGUUAAUAGUAUAGCCAGCUGCUGGCUAUAAGCCAGUGAAAUGUCAUCUACAGCCCAUCUUAUAGCGAACAUGUAUAAUAGUAGAUCAAAAGAAUAUACUACUUUUUUAUUAUGUGGCCCACCUUUCAUUCUCACAAAGUGCCUAGGAGCACGUGCUCUUCACGAAGAGCCCGCUUACCUUCUCUCUCCUCUUCUCUUUCCUCCAACUAAGCAGAAAUAUACUAGUUUAUUUCUUAUAGCACGCUGACUCAGCUCUAUUGUACUUGCUCUUAGUCGGUCUUUACAUCUUCUAGUGGUGCCCUGUGAAAUACUACAAGAAUCAUCAUAGAUGCAACCAACGACUACUCUGCUUUUCUCUACCUGAAUUGGUGCCACUUUUGAUGUUUCAUAAAUAGUGCCAUGUGGAAAAACUAUAGCAGUCAUCGAUCAUAGGUGCAGAUGCAUGGAGACAUAAUUGCAUUAUUAGAGGUUCAGAUAGCCGCUCAUAAUAAAGAAUUGUGCGAUUAUUUUGUAGUAAAAGAGUAAAAGUACAUCAAGACCAAUCUGAAUUUCCUUUGUUUCCAACGGGAUUCUAACGGAAUGGGGUAAAAGUUUGUCUUCCAUGCUUGUAUGUCCGCCUACACCUAUGUAAUCUAGUGCAUAAAAUAAUCAAAUCUACUCUGCAUGACUCACUAGAUUUUUGAUAAAUUAAUUUUUGGUUGCUCGUAGAAAGUUUGUCUUCCAUGUUUGAUGAUGAUGCAGCAACAUGGAUGGUAGCUCUACGCGAUAUCUAUUUUAUGUGUGGUUCUGGGAUCUCUACUUAAUUUGUUAUGCCUAAUCCUACCUUGUUACUUCAUGCCAGUUCUUGUUCUAGCAUAGGCUCUAUUAUAAUGAGAAGGGGAAGAAUGGGUUCACAAACAUCUUGUUAUGUUUAGACAAAAAAAAACACUCUGUUCUGAACUUGUUAUAAUGUAACUGGAAGACCUACUUAUGUGGGUUCGACCUGGUAACCGAAAUCUUGGCCUGCAAUCCUUUGAUUGGUGAAAGAUUUUACCAAGCACAUACGAACUAUUAAACCUGAUACUGUUUCCACUCAUCCUCUUAGUUUCGGGUUAUUAUUUUUGCUGACAGUUAGUUUCAGUUAUGUUUUUGUCCCAUUUGUCCUGCAUGUAACUGAUGGUUUACUUUAAACCUUGUAUGGUAUAUUUUAACAGAAUAUAUGUUGCAAAUAGCUGUUACUUGCAAACAAUAAGAAAAGGAGUCUGCGGCAUGGGGAAUCACAUGCAAAUGUUUUCGUAAUCAGCCUUGCUAGACUGAGACUUCGUGAUGUCUCAGUUGAUGAUAUAUUCAUGAGAUCUUACACUGAGAUCUGUGGUUUGCUGUCAAUGGCACAACACCACAGUGUCCGCCCGACCAGAUAGAUAGCACAUGCAACAAGUAGCUAGCAGCCUAAGUUCAACCCUCAACCUCCAAAAACCAGUGGCCAAAAGAUGACAUUUUGGAGCUUUUCAACCGAGACUUGACUAUUUAUAAGGAACAAUGUAGCAUGAAUUUUGUGCCGGAAGACAAAACUGUCACAGGCGGUCACACUCAUCUCAUGUCAAGACUUGGCCAGCCAAGCAAAUGGACAAUUUUCCGUUUUGGCAAAAUGCAGGCAGCUUUCAGCAAAGAAUAGCAGGGGGGGUAUCUAUCCUGCGUGGAAGUUCGAGACAGCGGUAGUUCAGACUGGAACACGAUCUAAUUUUGAUCUAGUUAAUAGCUCCUAAACUGAAUGUCCUCAUCCGCCAAAAACUUGCAUCGAACAAAAUACAAGGGUUUGAAGAAUGAAGGCACCAGAAUAGGCUGCUUGGCUCUGCUAACCCGAAAGGGAGUGCACCCCGCUCCAAAAGACAAUGUUUGAACUUUGAACAAUAUUGAUUUGACUACUGAAUCCUAAAUCAAUGUAAGUACUAUGUAGCAAAGUAACAAUUGGUAGUUCACUGCAGUACGAUCUCACAAAUUUUACAAGUAAUGCUCAGAUUGGACUUGGCUUCUUCUCCAAUUCAAAUUUACCAGUCUAAAAAAGGAAGAAUUUGUCAACACUGGACCGGAAUGGUUACUAGAUCUUCUAGCACGAAUUAAUGAAGGAAAGAAAGAAUGUGAUCAUGAUAAUCUGGAGGAACUGGCAACAAAGGAAUGAUCAAGUGCAUAAUAAACCAGUGCCACCAGUGCACGUAACAAAGAGUUUCUUGGUAGCUACAAUAAUUCGCUAUCCCAAAUUAAACGCAAAGAUGGACAGGAUCCUAUCAAGGGGAAAGGACUUGCAGAUGAAUAUGGUGUGCAGCGUGAACACAAGCUUAGGGCGACGGCCUAUGCCCCAUGGCCACCGCCAGCAGAAGGAAAACUGGCGAUCUCGGUCGAUUGAGCCUACUAUGUCCAGAACAAAGAUGCAGGCCUCGGCGUGAUUAUUAGAGACUCGGUUGGUGACUUGGUUCUUGCAUUCUACAAGUAUGUGGCUAGGUGUGAAGACCCCUUUGAAGCAGGACUGUUGGCAGACAAGGAAGGGAUUCAGGCAGCAACCACCUAUGCAACAGGGCAGUUUGUCCUUCAAACUGACUGCUGGAAUAUGAUUAAGACGCUCAAGAACCUGAGCCGAAAGAAGUCACGAAUAGGCCAUCUGGUUAGAGAGGUGAAGAAGUUGUUCAUGGAAGAAAGUGGGCCAUCUAGUUAGAGAGGCGAAGAAGUUAUUCGUGGAAGAAAGGGAGCUGAUCAUCAUGAAAUUAGAUAGAAGCCAGAAUAGGGUUGCAGAUUUCCUAGCUAAAUUUUCGUGCUCAGAGCAUCGUACCGACCUGUGGUUACAAGAUGUCCCUGAGAAUCUCAAAAGCCGUUGGCUAUGGAUUGUAAACCUAUUCACUAAUCAGUAAAGCUCCCAAUUUUGGGAAAAAUAUAUAAUUACAAACCAAAUCACUCUGCGAAUUAGCAACUCAAUGCAAGCCUUGGAAUGCUAAUGACACGUAGGUAAAGGACGAGAAGAAUCUGCAGGUUAUGAUAUGGUCAGCAAAAAUAUAAUAUUCCUCAGAAAUACUAGAUUUAGUAGGGCAACAACUUAGAAUCUUAACAGACCAGUGAGAAGUCAAGUAGAGAAAUAUUGGUCAUGGGCAGCUUAAACGAAGAUAUUAGCCACGGAUAGCUUAAUCAGAACAAAAAUGAACAGUGGAGCUGCAUGACUAGUAAGUACUGUAGUAGAGUAGUAAUGAACGGCUAACUUGUGUGCACCAUUACCCCUGUCUUACCUACAAACAUAUCAUUUCAGUGAAUUAUGUUGUUUAUCCACCCCUUGGGAAGGGGACUUCUCUUCCCAUAAAAAAAAGAAAUGAUAAUUUGUCCAGCUUUGUUAAGCUGCAUAUAUACAGACUGAAACAACAAUGGAACACCAUACAGAUUUUUACCCUCUCUGCAAAUGCAGAGGCUACUCUGACAUGUUCCAUUUCUAAAUUGAAAACCUUCCAAAUCUGGCAAAUGAGAGUGAUAGUUCCAAAUGCAGAAUAACAACACGACAUCAAAAGAUAACCAAUUUCAUACUAGAAACUUGUACUAUGUAAAUGGAAAUAAAAGGAGUUUGACAAAGAUAAGACACUUGUACGAUGUAAAUGGAAAUAAAAGGAGUUUGACAUCUCUUAGAUUUACCCCACAUAGGAGCUAACAAGGUGACAUCAAUAAGACAAUAAUGAUCAAUUAAGGGUCCCUUGCAGAUUCUUUAUGCUUAACCAGCACGGUACAAAGCCACAAAACCCAUUAGAAGUUCAGGGCACAAAGAGGAAGAUAAAACUGAAGCAGAUAUAGACGCUAGGACACAUCCAAUCCAGUGCCACAAAACAAGAAGAUCAGGCAAUACCCAAUACCCAACAACCGCUUUUUCUGAAGUGCCACGCUAAGGACACUAAGCUGCAGGUAGUACUUUCAGUGAGCAUCUGAAGCCCAUUCCGCAAAACAUGGGACGUAAGGUAGAACAUCCUCGAAUUCUUGAGAAAAAGUGCAGGUAGCAUUGACUUUCUGAUUCUCCAUAUCAUACGAUACUGCCAUCUCCUCCUCGUCUGUAAGAAAAAUCAAAUCACAAUCUGGAUGAAUCG
rnacentral:lncRNA from 1 species